rnacentral:rRNA from 1 species
GACGAACGCUGGCGGCGUGCUUAACACAUGCAAGUCGAACGGAAAGGCCCUGCUUUUGUGGGGUUUUCGAGUGGCGAACGGGCGAGUAACACGGGAGUAACUUUCCCACGAGUUUGGGACAACUUCAUGAAACUGGGGCUAUAACCGUAAUGCAGCUUCUGCUGCCAGGAGGGGGUUGGAAAGUUUCGGAGGGUGUGGAUGGACUCGCGGCUUAUCCGUUUGUUGGUGGGGUAGUGGCGUACCAAGGCUUCCACGGGUAGCCGGCCUGAGAGGGGGACCGGCCACAUUGGGACUGAGAUACGGCACGGACUACUACGGGAGGCAGCAGUAGGGAAUAUUGCACAAUGGGCGGAAGCCUGAUGCAGCAACGCCGCGUGCGGGAUGACGGCCUUCGGGUUGUAGGCCGCUUUCGCCUGUGAGGAAGCGUGAGUGACGGUAAUGUAUAAAGAAGCACCGGCUAACUACGUG